AACAUAGUGCCUGAUUUAAAAGGAUAGCUUUGAUAGAGCUAAUAAUGUAUAAAUUAUACCUAUGUUA
rnacentral:tRNA from 1 species